rnacentral:rRNA from 1 species
UACAGAGGGGGCAAGCGUUGUUCGGAAUUACUGGGCGUAAAGGGCGCGUAGGCGGCCUGUUAAGUCGGACGUGAAAUCCCUCGGCUCAACCGGGGAACUGCGUCCGAUACUGGCGGGCUUGAAUUCGGGAGAGGGAUGUGGAAUUCCAGGUGUAGCGGUGAAAUGCGUAGAUAUCUGGAAGAACACCGGUGGCGCAAGCGGAUUGCUGGGCCAUAACUGACACUGAGGAACGAAAGCUAGGGGAGCGAAUGGG